AGACCAUGAUGCGGACACUUGCGUAAAUAACUCCUUGAACCUUUCCCAAGUUUCAUAUAAGGAUUCCCCGUCCUCUUGUGAAUAUGUAUUAAUUUCAGUCAUUAAUUU
rfam:Helianthus annuus linkage group 10, whole genome shotgun sequence.